UUCUCCAGCACUUCCAGAUAAGAUAAACGAAUAUAUACAGUGAAGUAGCCAGUAUAGACAUUAGCGUCGUCAUCUACAGGAACGUGGGCGUAGGGUCAGGCCACAUGACAAAUACCCUCAUUAUUUUAUGUUUAAAAGACUGAAAAAUCUUUUAACUCACAUCUGGCCAGAUGAGAGAGUGAGAGACAACCACGUCUGAGACCACCACCGCAGCCGUUCCCAGGCAUGUCAGACAUGAUGGGAACUAAUGAGAACUGGAGGUCACACUUGGUGCCAGGCACAAAGCCUAACAGGGAGAGAAACUGAGGCACUGAGCGGCUGGAUCACUUUUCUUCCAGUGAGUGGAGGACCUGAGCCCCAUGCCAAGAAGCCUGACUCUAGGGCCUGCCAUCUGUCAGGAGCAGGACGCCAGGGAAGACCAC